rnacentral:misc_RNA from 1 species
UUCUUUGUCCCUCUUUUGAUGGCUUAAGGAUGUUAAUCAGUACUUGGAAGUUCUAGCAUAGAAGUACUGUCUACACCCUUAAGCCAUCAAAAGAGGGACAAAGAACCAAGCACAAGAGCAUCUUAUAUACAUGUCACUGAUCAAAAUAAACCAAUUUGCUGAACAGACUCCAAUACAUUUAUUUUUUUCCCCUUUCUGCACUAUCAGACUCCUUAUCAACUGUGAUGAAUCAGUUAAAAGCGUCAC